rnacentral:sRNA from 1 species
GCCAGGUAUGGUGGUGCAUACCUGUAGUCUCAGCUACUUGGGAGGCUGAGGCAGGAGGAUCACUUGAGCUCACAAGUGAGACACCAUGUCAA